rnacentral:rRNA from 1 species
AUUAAACUGAAGAGUUUGAUCCUGGCUCAGAUUGAACGCUGGUGGCAUGCUUAACACAUGCAAGUCGAACGGUAACAGGUCUUAGGAUGCUGACGAGUGGCGGACGGGUGAGUAACGCGUAGGAAUCUGCCCAUUUGAGGGGGAUACCAGUUGGAAACGACUGUUAAUACCGCAUAAUAUCUGUGGAUUAAAGGUGGCUUUCGGGCUGUCGCAGAUGGAUGAGCCUGCGUUGGAUUAGCUAGUUGGUGGGGUAAGGGCCCACCAAGGCUACGAUCCAUAGCUGAUUUGAGAGGAUGAUCAGCCACAUUGGGACUGAGACACGGCCCAAACUCCUACGGGAGGCAGCAGUGGGGAAUAUUGGACAAUGGGGGCAACCCUGAUCCAGCAAUGCCAUGUGUGUGAA